AUUGAACGCUGGCGGCAUGCCUUACACAUGCAAGUCGAACGGUAACAGGUCUUCGGAUGCUGACGAGUGGCGAACGGGUGAGUAAUACAUCGGAACGUGCCUAGUAGUGGGGGAUAACUACUCGAAAGAGUGGCUAAUACCGCAUGAGAUCUACGGAUAAAAGCAGGGGAUCGCAAGACCUUGUGCUACUAGAGCGGCCGAUGGCAGAUUAGGUAGUUGGUGGGAUAAAAGCUUACCAAGCCGACGAUCUGUAGCUGGUCUGAGAGGACGAUCAGCCACACUGGGACUGAGAAACGGCCCGGAAUCCUACGGGAGGCAGCAGUGGGGAAUUUUGGACAAUGGGCGCAAGCCUGAUCCCGCAAUGCCGCGUGCAGGAUGAAGGCCUUCGGGUUGUAAACUGCUUUUGUACGGAACGAAAAGCCCCGGGUUAAUACCCUGGGGUCAUGACGGUACCGUAAGAAUAAGCACCGGCUAACUACGUGCCAGCCGCCGCAGUAA
rnacentral:rRNA from 1 species